rnacentral:tRNA from 1 species
GUCCCCUUCGUCUAGAAGGCGGAGACACCGCCCUUUCACGGCGGUAACAGGAGUUCGAAUCCCCUAGGGGACGCCA